GGGUGCGAUCAUACCAGUGUUAAUGCAUCGAAUCCCAUCAAAAAUCCGCAGUUAAGCAUGCUUGGGCUAGAGUAGUACUGGGAUGGGUGACCUCCUGGGAAGUCCUAGUGUUGCACCCU
rnacentral:rRNA from 1 species